rnacentral:rRNA from 1 species
UACGUAGGGGGCAAGCGUUAUCCGGAAUUACUGGGUGUAAAGGGUGCGUAGGCGGCAUGGUAAGCCAGAUGUGAAGGCCUUGGGCUUAACCCGAGGAUUGCAUUUGGAACUAUCAAGCUAGAGUACAGGAGAGGAAAGCGGAAUUCCUAGUGUAGCGGUGAAAUGCGUAGAUAUUAGGAAGAACACCAGUGGCGAAGGCGGAUUGCUGGACAGUAACUGACGCUGAGGCGCGAAAGCGUGGGGAGCAAACAGG